UACGAAGGGGGCUAGCGUUGCUCGGAAUUACUGGGCGUAAAGCGCACGUAGGCGGCUUUCUAAGUCGGGGGUGAAAUCCUGGAGCUUAACUCCAGAACUGCCUUUGAUACUGAAGAUCUUGAGUUCGGGAGAGGUGAGUGGAACUGCGAGUGUAGAGGUGAAAUUCGUAGAUAUUCGCAAGAACACCAGUGGCGAAGGCGGCUCACUGGCCCGAUACUGACGCUGAGGCACGAAAGCGUGGGGAGCAAACAGG
rnacentral:rRNA from 1 species